GCCAGACUCCUACGGGAGGCAGCAGUAAGGGAUAUUGGUCAAUGGGGGAAACCCUGAACCAGCAACGCCGCGUGAGGGAAGACGGUUUUCGGAUUGUAAACCUCUGUCCUCUGUGAAGAUGAUGACGGUAGCAGAGGAGGAAGCUCCGGCUAACUACGUGCCAGCAGCCGCGGUAAUACGUAGGGGGCAAGCGUUAUCCGGAUUUACUGGGUGUAAAGGGAGCGUAGACGGCGGCGCAAGUCCGGAGUGAAAGUCCGCGGCCCAACCGUGGGACUGCUCUGGAAACUGUGCGGCUUGAGUGCGGGAGGGGCAGGCGGAAUUCCUAGUGUAGCGGUGAAAUGCGUAGAUAUUAGGAGGAAUACCGGAGGCGAAGGCGGCCUGCUGGACCGUAACUGACGUUGAGGCGCGAAAGCGUGGGGAGCAAACAGGAUUAGAUACCCGAGUA
rnacentral:rRNA from 1 species